rnacentral:rRNA from 1 species
AACGAACGCUGGCGGCAUGCCUAACACAUGCAAGUCGAACGAGACCUUCGGGUCUAGUGGCGCACGGGUGCGUAACGCGUGGGAACCUGCCCUUAGGUUCGGAAUAACUCCCCGAAAGGGGUGCUAAUACCGGAUAAUGUCUUCGGACCAAAGAUUUAUCGCCUUUGGAUGGGCCCGCGUUGGAUUAGCUAGUUGGUAGGGCAAAAGCCUACCAAGGCGACGAUCCAUAGCUGGUCUGAGAGGAUGAUCAGCCACACUGGGACUGAGACGCGGCCCAGACUCCUACGGGAGGCAGCAGUGGCGAAUAUUGGAAAAUGGCCGAAAGCCUGAUCCAGCAAUGCCGCGUGAGUGAUGAAGGCCUUAGGGUUGUAAAGCUCUUUUACCCGGGAAGAUCAUGACAGUACCGAGAGAAUAAGCUCCGGCUAACUCCGUG